rnacentral:miRNA from 1 species
UCAGCUGGGCUUUGGUGUUGGAGUCA